rnacentral:rRNA from 1 species
AGUGAACGCUCGCGGCAUGCUUAACACAUGCAAGUCGCACGGGCAGCAAUGUCAGUGGCGGACGGGUGAGUAACGCGUAGGGAUGUGUCCAGAGGUGGGGGACAACUCCGGGAAACUGGAGCUAAUACCGCAUAUGGCCUGAGGGCCAAAGCAGCGAUGCGCCUUUGGAGUAACCUGCGUCCGAUUAGCUAGUUGGUGGGGUAAAGGCCUACCAAGGCGACGAUCGGUAGCUGGUCUGAGAGGACGACCAGCCACACUGGGACUGAGACACGGCCCAGACUCCUACGGGAGGCAGCAGUGGGGAAUAUUGGACAAUGGGCGCAAGCCUGAUCCAGCAAUGCCGCGUGGGUGAAGAAGGUCUUCGGAUCGUAAAGCCCUUUCGGCGGGGACGAUGAUGACGGUACCCGCAGAAGAAGCCCCGGCUAACUUCGUG